UUUAAAAGCUCGUAGYUGGAUUCAGAGGUGGGGUUGUGGGUCGGGUGUGGCCCGSCAGCUUGUCUCCGUGUGCCGCUCCCAAUCAACCCGCGUUUGCCCCAGCCUCCUAUCGCACGGAAACGGAGUCCUGCUGGGGUCUCCUUAACUGGGGGUUCCAGCGCUUCCGCGCACAACGCGCGCUUACGGACCGUCCGUGGACGUUACUGUGAACAAAACAGCGUGUUCAAAGCAAGUGGCUUGCCUGCCCUGCAUGUUAAAGCAUGGAAUAACAAGGCAUCGACCACUCGGCGGUGCUUUUGUUGGUCUUUCCCUCCCGGUGGAAUGCGCAGSCGUGCACACUGCCGGCCUUCUGGCCGGUCUGGGUGCCGUCUCUUCGAGAUCAAUAGGGGCAAACGGGGAGAUACCUAUUGUGGGGAGAGCGGUGAAAUGCGAUGACCCCCAUAAGAGGAACUUCAGCGAAAGCAGUUCUCAAGACUGCCUUCGUUAAUCAAGAACGAGACUGUGGGGAUCAAGAUGAUCAGAUACCGUCGUAGUCCACUAGCGUAAACGAUGCCGACUCAUCAUUGGG
rnacentral:rRNA from 1 species